rnacentral:rRNA from 1 species
GACGAACGCUGGCGGCGUGCCUAAUACAUGCAAGUCGAACGCAGUGGGGCCGGGUGAGUAACCCGUGGUUAACCUCCCAUCAGAGGGGAUAACACUUGGAAACAGGUCCUAAACUGAUACUGAUGGUUGGACCCGCGGUGCAUUAGCUAGUUGGUGAGGUAACGGCUCACCAAGGCCACGAUGCUUAGCCGACCUGAGAGGGGGAUCGGCCACACUGGGACUGAGACACGGCCCAGACUCCUACGGGAGGCAGCAGUAGGGAAUCUUCGGCAAUGGACGAAAGUCUGACCGAGCAACGCCGCGUGAGUGAAGAAGGUUUUCGGAUCGUAAAACUCUGUUGUUAGAGAAGCGGUAUCUAACCAGAAAGCCACGGCUAACUACGUGCCAGCAGCCGCGGUAAUAC